AUUUGGGGUAAGAAAAUUAUAUGAUUGGAACUGUGUUUCAAGGAGAUGAAUUUGGCUGUUUUGUGCAAGAUGGGUUGGCUGGAAAUCAGAGACCAGUGAGGACGCUAUUGUGGAAGGAAAUGUGUAAUGAAGGCAUCAAAUGCAAGGAAUUUCAAAAUGCUGUAUUUGUAUUCAUUUCUAAGUACCUGGACGAUGCCAUACUCCAACUUUACGCAGUAAUAAAAAAGAACCCAUCCAGAUAUCUGUUCCAUCAGUGAAGGCCAUUUGAUAAAAAAAAGUUCAUAUCAGUCAUACCGGCAUUUGGCACUGCUGGGUGUUUGCUCCAUCUGAACUCAAUUCUUGUCACCAUCUUCCUGGACUCUGAAACUUGUUCCUCCUUGGUAUUUCAGCACUGACGCCUCACAAGAACAUGGAAUGUCAUCCUCAAAGCCUGUAUCUGUGAGCUUGGCAGGUUUCUGAGCUUUAAGACAAAUAAAAUGUUUUGGCCACAAGCACAUAUUUAUGUGAUCUGGCCCGGCUGUGAUAUUGGGUAAACAGCAACUUUGGUGAUGAGUCAGUCCAUGGACCUGUCCCAUGCAUGAUGUGAACCUGUGCCAUGCAUGCAGUGAACCUGCACAAUGCACUACAUGAAUCUGUGUGAUGCAUGAAGUGAAACUGUGCAGUGCUGAUGUGAAUCUGUGCAAUGCAUGGAGUGAACCCGUGCAACGCAUUAUGUGAAUCUGUGUAAUGCAUGCAUGGAGUGGACCUGUGCCAUGCACGAAGUUCCAUGUGUUUUUAAACCCAGCUCCAGCCAAAGUUAUGUGUUAUAAAUUAUUCCAGAUUAAAUUGAAAUAAAUAUCAAAUGUCAACAGAGAACCCCAUCCACUGGACCAAACCAUCCCUAAAACACAACAUAGAUGAGUUCCAAUGUGUUCUGUCAGCCUCAUAACUACCCCUGUCAGGUAAUUUAUAAUGCAAUUCAAGAAGCUGUAUGCCGUUUCCUUACCUUUUAGGCCUCUUUUUCCCCUUUGGAAUAUCUCACCUUUUUAAACCACAGGAAUAAAACUAUGGUUAGAAAUGAUUAAAUUUUAACUUACACAUUCUGAGCGUGGCUCAGUGUGUCAAGGAAA